UUUUGAUUAUGGCUAGUUGAACGCUGUGGAUGCUUUACAUACAGUCGAACGGCAGCACGGACUGGUCUGUUGGCAGUACAACGAACAGGUGAUAAUGUAUCGGAACGUGCCUAGUAGCGGGGGAUAACUACGCGAAAGCGUAGCUAAUACCGCAUACGCCCUUCGAGAGAAAGCAGGACCUUCGGGCCUCGCACUGGCCGACGGCCGAUAUCAGUUGUGGUUGGUGGGGUAACGGCUCACCAAGGCGACGAUCCGUAGCUGGUUUGAGAGGACGACCAGCCACACUGGGACUGAGACACAGCAGGCUCUGGAGAGCAGCAGUGGGGAAUUUUGGACAAUGGGGGAAACCCUGGUCCAGCCAUCCCGCGUGUGCGAUGAAGGCCUUCGGGUUGUAAAACACUUUUGGCAGGGAAAGAAACGGCACGGGAUAAUACCCGUGCAACUGACGGCGCCUGCAGAAUAAGCACCGGCUAACUACGUGCCAGCAGCCGCGGUAAUACAUGCGGGUCACAAGCGUUAAUCAGAGUGGGCGUAAGCGUGCGCAGGCGGUUGGAAGAAAGAUGUGAAAUCCCACGACUUAACACGGAACUGCAUUUUUAACUACCGAGCUAGUGUGUCAGAGGGAGGUGGAAUUCCGCGUGUAGCAGUGAAAUGCUGGCAGUCUAUGCGGAGGAACACCUCCGAUGGCGAAGGCAACCUCUGGGAUAACACUGACGCUCAUGCACGAAAGCGUGGGAGCAAACAGGAUUAGAUACCCUGGUAGUCCACGCCUAAACGGUGUCAACUAGCUGUUGGAAUGACGGGCCUUGGUAGCGCAGCUAACGCGUGAAGUUGACCGCCUGGGAAGUGCAGGUCGCAAGUUAAACUCAAAGGAAUUGACGGGACCCGCACAAGCGGUGGAUGAUGUGGAUUAAUUCGAUGCAACGCGAAAAGCCUUACCUGCCCGCUUGACGUGUCUGAGAUCCCGAAGAUUUGGGAGUGCUCGCCGAGAGCCGUUUAGAUUGCUGCGCCAAGCUCGUCCAGCUCGUGUCGUGAGAUGUUGGGUUAAGUCCCGCAACAAACCUGUACUUGUCAUUAGUUGCUACGAAAAGGGCGCUCUAAUGAGACUGCCAAGUGACAAACCGGAGGAAGGUGGGGAUGACGUCGAGUCCUGUAACCCUUAUGGAAGGUAGGGCUUCACACGUCAUACAAUGGUCGGGACAGAGGGUCGCCAACCCGCGAGGGGAGCCAAUCCCAGAAGCUGAUCGUAGUCCGGAUCGCAGUCUGCAACUCGACUGCGUGAAGUCGGAAUCGCUAGUAAUCGCGGAUCAGCAUGUCGCGGUGAAUACGUUCCCGGUCUUGUACACACCGCCCGUCACACCAUGGGAGUGGGUUUUACCAGAAAUGGGUCGCUAACCGUAAGAGGCGAUUACCACGGUAAGUUCAUGACGGGUAAAGUCAUGGCACAGUGCG
rnacentral:rRNA from 1 species